ensembl:lncRNA
UUUCUGUUCAAAGAGCAAACCUGGUGUCCAAGCGCUCUGUGAACCCGUUACAGGCAUAAUUACUAUUUUGAAAAUCAUUGAAGACAUACUACACAAUUUGGGUAUAUAUAUACAUGAAAUAUGGAUUCACUGGCACUUUAAGGGCAUGAGGUGACACAGCCGUGCAUAUAUCAGGAUCUCGUUGCUAACCAUGUGAGCGCUUUGGUCGUAAAAGUCCGUCUGCGGCGUGAAAGAGUUCCUGCGCAUGGCGUUAGACAUCGGAGGCAGGGGCUGACCCUCGGGCUGGCCUAGGACAUGCUGAUCCAUCAUGGGCAUGUGUCCAGGGGAGGGGGGCGUGUGUGGGGACGGCUGACUCACCGGGUGUGGAGGCAUCGGAGUCAUUUGAUGGGGAGAGGGCUGGUUUACCGGAUAAGGGGCUUGGUUCGUCAGAUGGGGAGGUUGUUGGUUCAUCAGAUGGGGAGGUUGUUGGUUCAUCUGAUGGGGAGGUUGUUGGUUCAUCUGAUGGGGAGGUUGUUGGUUCAUCUGAUGGGGAGGUUGUUGGUUCAUCGGAUGGGGAGGUUGUUGGUUCAUCUGGGGGGGAGGUUGUUGGUGCAUCUGGGGGAGGAUGUUGGUUCAUCUGGGGGAGGUUGUUGGUGCAUCUGGGGGGAGGAUGUUGGUUCAUCAGAUGGGGAGGUUGUUGGUUCAUCUGAUGGGGAGGUUGUUGGUUCAUCUGAUGGGGAGGUUGUUGGUUCAUCUGGGGAGGCAUGUGAGAGCCCAUGUGUCCCGGGUGAGGGGGCGAGGAGCUGGGCUGCUGCUGGAGAGGUGGAGGGUACAUGUCCGAGGGCUGGGGCUGCUGAGGCUCGUAGGGAGAGGGGCCGGAGUCGGGGACCUGCGGUAGGUAGCCUGCGGCCGGGCCGGGGGGCACGGGGUAGAACUGGUGGACCUCUGAUGGGUGGUGCUGUGGAACCAUGCCGUCUUGGAGGAUGGUAGUUGGGGCUGUAAGAGAACAUAUAGUGUAUUUAUAACACAUAUUUAGAUUUACAUGAAGAAAUAACCAAUAGCUCAAUAACUUGCUAACUUCAGUUAUAUGUAAGAUACAGAUGGUGGAUUUUAAGUAUAACACAA